UACGUAGGCUGCAAGCGUUGUCCGGAUUUAUUGGGCGUAAAGAGCGUGUAGGCGGUCAUACAGGUCCGUUGUGAAAACUCGAGGCUCAACCUCGAGACGUCGAUGGAAACCGUAUGGCUAGAGUCCGGAAGGGGCAACUGGAAUUCUCGGUGUAGCGGUGAAAUGCGUAGAUAUCGAGAGGAACACCGGCGGCGAAGGCGGGUUGCUGGACCGACACUGACGCUGAUGCGCGAAAGCUAGGGGAGCGAACGGG
rnacentral:rRNA from 1 species